UGGGCUUUUUCAUACUUUGGCUUGUCAUUAUUAUCUAUUUACUUUGAACUGUAUUAUUACUUGACGCUUGAGGGAUGCUCCACUGCUAUAAGGAUAGGCGAUGGAGAUGCUAAGCGAGUCAUAGUCAAGCUUAGGCUUGGUAUCCUAUUAUUAUUUACCCAAAGAAUUCAGAAUUAAUAUUGUAACAUAGACCUAAAAAAUCUAUAAAACAACUUUUAACAACGGAUCUCUUGGUUUUCGCAUCGAUGAAGAACGUAGCAAAGUGCGAUAACUAGUGUGAAUUGCAUAUUCAGUGAAUCAUCGAGUCUUUGAACGCAAGUUGCGCUCAUUGGUAUUCCAAUGAGCACGCCUGUUUCAGUAUCAAAAGAAACCCUCUAUCCAACAUUUUGUUGAAUAGGAAUACUGAGAGUCUCUUGAUCUAUUCUGAUCUCGAACCCCCUUGAAAUGUACAAAGGCCUGUUCUUGUUUGAAUGCCUCAACUUUUUUUUAAUAUAAAGAGAAGCUCUUGCGGUAAACUGUGCUGGGGCCUCC
rnacentral:sRNA from 1 species